rnacentral:rRNA from 1 species
CCUACGGGAGGCAGCAGUGAGGAAUAUUGCACAAUGGACGAAACCCUGAAGCAGCGACGCCGCGUGAACGAAGACGGCUUUCGGUGUUUAAAACUCUAUCAGCAGGGAAGAAAAUGACGAUACCUGACUAAGAAGCCACGUCUAAAUCCGUGCCAGCAGCCGCGGUAAUACGUAGGGGGCAAGCGUUAUCCGGAUUUACUGGGUGUAAAGGGAGUGUAGGCGGGUUGGUAAGUCUGAUGGGAAAGGCUGGGGCUCAACCCCAGGACUGCAUUUGAAACUGUUAGGCUGGAGUGUCGGAGAGGUAAGCGGAAUUCCUGGUGUAGCGGUGAAAUGCGUAGAUAUUAGGAAGAACACCAGUGGCGAAGGCAGUUUACUGGACUACAACUGACGCUGAGGCUCGAAAGCGUGGGGAGCAAACAGGAUUAGAUACCCUAGUAGUC